AGUCGAGCGGCAGCGGGUCCUUCGGGAUGCCGGCGAGCGGCGGACGGGUGAGUAAUGCCUAGGAAUCUGCCUGGUAGUGGGGGAUAACUCGGGGAAACUCGAGCUAAUACCGCAUACGUCCUACGGGAGAAAGCGGGGGAUCUUCGGACCUCGCGCUACCAGAUGAGCCUAGGUCGGAUUAGCUAGUUGGUGAGGUAAAGGCUCACCAAGGCGACGAUCCGUAGCUGGUCUGAGAGGAUGAUCAGCCACACUGGAACUGAGACACGGUCCAGACUCCUACGGGAGGCAGCAGUGGGGAAUAUUGGACAAUGGGCGAAAGCCUGAUCCAGCCAUGCCGCGUGUGUGAAGAAGGUCUUCGGAUUGUAAAGCACUUUAAGUUGGGAGGAAGGGCAGUAAGCUAAUACCUUGCUGUUUUGACGUUACCGACAGAAUAAGCACCGGCUAACUUCGUGCCAGCAGCCGCGGUAAUACGAAGGGUGCAAGCGUUAAUCGGAAUUACUGGGCGUAAAGCGCGCGUAGGUGGUUUGAUAAGUUGGAUGUGAAAGCCCCGGGCUCAACCUGGGAAUUGCAUCCAAAACUGUCUGACUAGAGUAUGGCAGAGGGUGGUGGAAUUUCCUGUGUAGCGGUGA
rnacentral:rRNA from 1 species